CAGCUGUGAGAAGCAGUUGGCUGAGGGUAAAGCCCUGAAGAGAUGCCCAGGGGAGUGGCUGGCCCAAGGCACUGCUCAGUGUCUGCUCUGUCAGACCUGCAUCUCCUCCCUGGUUCCCCCAGAUCUGCCACUCCAUCAACCACAAGGCCAAGACAGAGUGCACUCCUGCCACUGGGUGAUGACAAUCCAUGUUAUUUGAGGAGACUGAAGACUUCCGGGUGCCAUCGCCAUGCAGCUCUCCACCUCGUGAGCUUCAGCCUUUUGCCUUCCACCAUAUCAGCCCAGGUUGGAGAUUGAACUUCAGGCUUUGGCUUGCUACGCAAGCACCCAAUACUGAGCUACACCCCAGCCCCUUAAAAUCUUGAGCCCCAACAGUAAUCUACUGACGUCAGGCUUGGGUAUACACCAUCCAUGGAUGCAAAGCUGGCCUCAG
rnacentral:lncRNA from 1 species